GAGUGACCGAGCCCCGGCGGGGGACUGACGGAGCCCCGGUGAAGGAGUGGCCCCGGGCGUCUGGGAUAAAGUCUCAAUGUGUGCAUCAAAUCAAAAGCUGGCUUUACUUUUAGAUGAUGGAUACAGAUCUAUGUUAUGGCUACUGGGCAGGAGAUAGAAAAGAGGAGGCCUCCAGUAGGGAACUCCCAGAAGCCAGAGGCAGAGCAGCGAUUGUCCUGGAGCCGCCAGUUCCCAACCAAGGUUCCAAGAACGAUGUGGCAGUACCAGAGGAGAAGACUUUUGGUGUGGUACUGGAAAAAAUGCUCCAGCAGCAAUGGCAGAUGUUCCCAUCUGCAGGGCACUUAGAGCCCUCAGCAAUGGAGAAGAAGGAUGAGGAUGAAUUCCACACGUCGGAUACUCCUGGCAGGAGACUUGACCG